rnacentral:lncRNA from 1 species
CUCUUUAUUAAUCAGAUUGUCAAUUAACACGUUAAAUGAUGAUGUGGCUGCUUCCAACGUGGCUUUAAAAAAAAAAAAGAGGUGGAUACAACAUGAAUACAAUUUAUUUAUUUUUUCAUUUAUCUUGAAUAAUAUCAACAAAUAUGAAUAGCAUCUUCAUCCGUUGCGUUUUCAAGCCAAGAACCUAGAGUUUCUGUUGCAUCUGAAGUCCAUCUGUUCAUGUUCAAAUGCAGACAACAGCUUUCUUUCUCUGCAGAUUGAUUACACCAAAACACGCCACGAUUAGGAUGUGGUUUGAAUCCCAUCUCCACUAAUUUAAACAAAGCCAUAGCUGCAUUUUCUACCAUUCCAACCUUAGAAAGCCGAACCAGCAACUCAUUUGAAGUUGUGCAUUAUGCACAAUUGAUUAAACCAGAUCCAACCCCGGAAGCCCGAGGCCACGCCACCGUCUUCGUCGCCAAAUUCUUCGGCCGCUGCAACGCCAACACAGAAGUUGUCUGAUCUGGGGUGGUCAUGCGACUGGGUUUGGCGACGAGGGUGGUGCUGCGACUAGGGAAUGGGUAUCUUGAUUCUUGACAAGUUUUGAGAGAGAGAGAGAGAGAGAGAGAGAGAGAGAGAGAUAGGUUGGCUGAGGAUGGGAUCGAUGUACGGUGGGCUGGGUUUGGUGGUGGUGGUCGAUUCAGUUUUGUUUGGGGUGACGAUCGGAAUGGGUGGGGAGGGAUGG